ACAGAGAAAAUAGCACAGUGCAACAGGACUGACAUUGCUUCACGGUGGUGUAAAUUACAGAACGAAGUCACGAACAAUUGUACGCUGGUUUUGCUGGCCGCUUUCUUCUGUAGCAAUGGAGAGAAUGGACUUUGCUCAGUUUCAAACCAAGCCGCCCUUGAAGUCAAAAAUAAAACCACCUCCUUGCUUCCAAGGCGGCUUCAUGGGCCGAGGAGCGGAUGGCAGAUUCAGUUUAAGCAUUCCAGCUCUCCGAGGAGAGAACGUCAUAUUUUAUGGAUCAAAACUUUGGGCUUUGGAGCUUUCGGUAGGCAUUACUUUUUGUACGCCUCACCGUUUCUUAUCUCACCAUCUCUGCGGUGCUUAUCAGGUGCUCCGUAAGCCACAGAGGGAACAAUUCCAGCAUCUGACCAGCCGAGGGGGUCAGCGCUCCAAUGAACGCAGCGCUGUGCUGCAAACCCGAGCUUACCCUGCAGCUGCUGAACGUGGAAAGCGAGACGCUCCAUUUCUCACGUCCGCGAGAGGUGCUUAAGGGACAGUUUGGCACGCGGGUACAGAUGGAAGCAAAUAAUCUCUGAUGUGAACAAAAACUACAACCAUCGAGGCAGGACCUUAACGCACAGCUGGGUGUUUUAUUUCCAAUUAACCAGAACUAACAAGCAGAUAGAAUUGGUCUCAUAGUGACACCAGAACAGAUCCAGGGAGUGUGUGAGAUACUGCCAUAAAGAGACCAGCCACCCGACAGCACACUGCUAAGACAGGACAAAGAACUGCUGAUUAUAUUACAUUUCAUUUGCUAAGUAAUUCCGAACAUGGCCUAGUGCUUCUAAAAAAACCUGUAUAAAAUGAGUAUUUUUUACAUCUCAGGCACAUGGAUACAAAUCUGAGCUAUUUUAUAUAUACAGACAUUUACAUUACAUGAAAAUCUGAGUGGAGAUCAAAUGAAAAAUAAAAGCUUU
ensembl:lncRNA